UAGAGGUUGGCGGAAAUGACCGCCAUGUGAUUAGUGGUUGGCGGAAGUGAUGUUAUCAGUUACUCCAUCUACUUCCGUUUUCGUCUUUUACCUUGUGCUUCCCACCUCUCUCUAAGACGCUCUUGUGUCUGUUACUAUAUGGGGGUGGUCCGUAAUCGCUGCGGUGAAGUCCGACGUGGGGACGUGAAUUGUCAUGUCACUCUCAUUGUCAGGAUUCUUCGCGCAUGCGUACUCCCCUACAUUUCCUUAGUGAUAGGAUAAUGAUCUUUAAUAGUGCAAAAAGUGCUAGUGAUAAUAAUAUCCCCAUGUAUUUGUGAAGAAUAAGAUCUUUAUAUUUCUAUCUAAUUAUAUAUCUGGCCUUACUUCUAAAGUGUCAUAUCCCUUUAACCCCCUUUUAAUUUAACUCUAGUUUCCGUAUGUAUACUAGUCAUAUUAAUAAAUAUCGUUUGUUGCGAUAGUGUUUGUGACUUAAUACUUUAUUAUAUCACCUCAUAUCCUUUUAUUCUAUCAUUUCCUUUUCAUACAAAUUUGUUUAAG